rnacentral:lncRNA from 1 species
CGAAAACUUAGGCACAUUGGAGGAGCUUCUAUUAUCGGAUAACAGCAUUUCUGGUGAAAUCCCAUACUAUAUUGGCAACUUUUCCAGCUUGAAGCAACUUGAAUUGGACAACAAUAAUUUUUCAGGUGCGAUCCCACCUACCAUUGGGAAUCUGAAGGAACUAAAUCUGUUUUUUGCAUGGCAGAAUCAACUGCAAGGGAGCAUUGAUCCCACCUACCAUUGGGAAUCUAAAGGAACUAAAUCUGUUUUUCGCGUGGCAGAAUCAACUGCAUGGAAGCAUACCAACUGAGCUGGCCGAUUGUUGGAAACUUCAGUCUUUGGAUCUUUCUCACAAUUAUCUUACAGGAUCAAUUCCG